GUGGGGAAUCUUGCGCAAUGGGCGAAAGCCUGACGCAGCCAUGCCGCGUGAAUGAUGAAGGUCUUAGGAUUGUAAAAUUCUUUCACCGGGGACGAUAAUGACGGUACCCGGAGAAGAAGCCCCGGCUAACUUCGUGCCAGCAGCCGCGGUAAUACGAAGGGGGCUAGCGUUGCUCGGAAUUACUGGGCGUAAAGGGCGCGUAGGCGGACAGUUUAGUCAGAGGUGAAAGCCCAGGGCUCAACCUUGGAAUUGCCUUUGAUACUGGCUGUCUUGAGUACGGGAGAGGUGAGUGGAACUCCGAGUGUAGAGGUGAAAUUCGUAGAUAUUAGGAAGAACACCAGUGGCGAAGGCGACUCACUGGCCCGUUACUGACGCUGAGGCGCGAAAGCGUGGGGAGCAAACAGGAUUAGAAACCCCAGUAGUCC
rnacentral:rRNA from 1 species